rnacentral:ncRNA from 1 species
GGCUCGGGAGCCACCUGACGGGACAGGUGGCAGGUAUGGAGCCCAAACCCCCUUCCUGCCCAGUGGCGCGCCUCUGUGACCCGACAGAGCGCA